UCACUGUGAUGAUUGAUAUCCACACAUUCGCAGUUUCCACCAGAAAGGUUUUUCCUUAUGUUGGCCAGUUCUUCCUUGGAUGUCUGAGUGA
ensembl:snoRNA SNORD14 Small nucleolar RNA SNORD14